UGGAGGCCCCAGGCUCGCCGUUGCGCCGUUAAGCCGGGCCGGUAACGCCGGGCACUUACGUCGCACCUUUUAGCGGCUGAUCCCGAGCAGCGACCCCUCGGACUUUGAGGCGUGGGCAGCGGCCCCUCCCGGGUCCCGGGCUCUUUCCUGGCCGCCCGCGGCCGGGAUCCGCCGCGGCAAGCGCGGGUCGCGGCGACGUCUGUGCUAACGUGUCAGCUCGUCACAGUUUCAUGGAUGUUGACAGAACACACAAGACUCCUGGGUCAGAGAUGAAAGACUAUCACAGCAAAAGCAUUAGCCAGAGUGUCAACAUGAUCGUGUCGGUUCUCUGAACCCCAGUUCUCACAGGAACGAAGCAGGCAGUGCAUGCCAUGAACAGCAGCCAUCACACAACCUGAACCAAGAAUUCCUGCAGGAAAAAAAAACAAAAACAAAACCUCUUCCUUUCUACCGACAGAGGGAACCAAAGCAUGGACUAUAAUCACCUGUGAGUGGGCUGAUCGCUGCAGUUUGCAACUUGAGUUCCCUAAAUUAAGCGCUACUUCAUCUUGCUGUUUUAAAGUUCAGAUCCAUUAUACACCUCUGGGAGUCUGCAGUAACAUUUUUCAUGUUUGUACAGAAGGAUUAUUUUUAAGUUCCUGUGUUCUAUUUGCAGAGCUUGGAAGCAGCUUCAGCCUUCCCCAGAAGCUCUAGAAAUCUACUGUAUUUCUAUAUAUUUUUUAUUUCUAUAUAUUUCUACAAUAUUUUUACUUGCUUUGCUUUGCUCCAGAGGGAGAAGGUCGCUGGAGUACCAGUUUAAUUCAAUUCAAUGCGUAGUUAGGGAGGAUACAUUUGGCCCUACUGUGGGAGAUAAAGUGGAAGUUUAAGACACAAUCCCUACCUUCAAGGAUACUUCAGAUUCCUUGGAAGAAAUACCUGUGAAUAUGAAACAAUAAGCAAAAUAAUGCAAGAUGACAUAUGAAAAAGUGGCAAAAUGUGAUUGGGUAUCCCUACCAGUAAAACGUUUUUGAGUUUGCAUUUCCAAGUAAUAAACAUAUACUAAAUACUAUACUAAUUAUCUUUUUAAAAAGAAAUUUUUAAAGGAUGAGAUUUUUUUUAACAUCUUUAUUGGAGUAUAAUUGCUUUACAAUGUUGUGUUAGUUUCUGCUGUACAACAAAGUGAAUCAGCUAUACGUAUACAUAUAUCCCCAUAUCCCUUCCCUCUUGCGUCUCCCUCCCACCCUCCCUAUCCCACCCCUCUAGGUGGACACAAAGCACCAACCUGAUCUCCCUGUGUGCUAUGCGGCUGCUAAAGGAUGAGAUUUUUAAAAAUCAGAGACUCUUGAGAGUAGAGGUUAGGAGCAUAGGCUGUGGAGUCAGACUCCUGGU